rnacentral:rRNA from 1 species
UACGUAGGGUGCAAGCGUUGUCCGGAAUUAUUGGGCGUAAAGAGCUCGUAGGCGGUCUGUCGCGUCGAAUGUGAAAACCCGGGGCUCAACCCCGGGCCUGCAUUCGAUACGGGCAGACUAGAGUUCGGUAGGGGAGUCUGGAAUUCCUGGUGUAGCGGUGAAAUGCGCAGAUAUCAGGAGGAACACCGGUGGCGAAGGCGGGACUCUGGGCCGAUAUUGACGCUGAGGAGCGAAAGCGUGGGUAGCGAACAGG